rnacentral:rRNA from 1 species
GUACACGCUGUGACUAGCAUAUCAAUAAGCGGAGGAAAAGAAACUAACAAGGAUUCCCCUAGUAACGGCGAGUGAAGCGGGAAGAGCUCAAAUUUGAAAUCUUAAAGGGUUUCCCUUUACGAAUUGUAGUUUAAAGAAGUGUUUUCUGUUGAGGUUUUGGUAAAAGUUCUUUGGAAUAGGACAUCAUAGAGGGUGAGAAUCCCGUAUUUGACCUUUACUUUCAACUUUGUGAUACACUUUCAAAGAGUCGGAUUGUUUGGGAAUGCAGUCCAAAAUGGGUGGUAAAUUUCAUCUAAAGCUAAAUAUUGGCGAGAGACCGAUAGCGAACAAGUACCGUGAGGGAAAGAUGAAAAGAACUUUGAAAAGAGAGUUAAACAGUACGUGAAAUUGUCAAAAGGGAAGCGUUUGACACCAGUGUUGUUUUUCUGAAAAUCAAUUAAAGAACUGUUUAUGCUAAGCUGUUUAGACUUUAUCAGCUAAUCUGUUUAGUUUUGAGCUUUUCUUUAAUGCACUUUUCAGUUAACAAGUCAACAUCAAUUUCCUUUGCUGUAAAAAAGCUUGAGGAAGGUGGCUUGAGAUUCGUCUUAAGUGUUUAUAGCCUCUUGCCUAUGCAGUCGGAGAGAUUGAGGUCUGCAGCGUAGAUCCUUCGGGGCUAAAUGCAUUUGUGCUAAGUUAUAGCAUUUCAUAGACAACUUGUUGACUAUGAUUUGUCUUGUAGCUUACUCGCUUAUGUUAUUUUACCUACGCUUAGGAUGUUGACGAGACUGUCGAUCUC